AUCCAGCUGACUAGUCCCAAAUAGGACGUAAAGCGCGUCCUGGAU
rfam:Schistosoma rodhaini strain Burundi genome assembly, scaffold: SROB_scaffold0003095